UACAGAGGUCCCAAGCGUUGUUCGGAUUCAUUGGGCGUAAAGGGUGCGUAGGCGGCGCGGUAAGUCGGGUGUGAAAUCUCGGAGCUUAACUCCGAAACUGCAUUCGAUACUGCUGUGCUUGAGGACUGGAGAGGAGACUGGAAUUUACGGUGUAGCGGUGAAAUGCGUAGAUAUCAUAAGGAAGACCAGUGGCGAAGGCGGGUCUCUGGACAGUUCCUGACGCUGAGGCACGAAGGCCAGGGGAGCAAACGGG
rnacentral:rRNA from 1 species